GACGAACGCUGGCGGCGUGCUUAACACAUGCAAGUCGAACGGUAAGGCCCUUCGGGGUACACGAGUGGCGAACGGGUGAGUAACACGUGGGUGAUCUGCCCUGCACUUCGGGAUAAGCCUGGGAAACUGGGUCUAAUACCGGAUAGGACUCCGGACUGCAUGGUCUGGGGUGGAAAGCUUUUGCGGUGUGGGAUGGGCCCGCGGCCUAUCAGCUUGUUGGUGGGGUGAUGGCCUACCAAGGCGACGACGGGUAGCCGGCCUGAGAGGGUGACCGGCCACACUGGGACGGAGAGACGGCCCAGACUCCUACGGGAGGCAGCAGUGGGGAAUAUUGCACAAUGGGCGCAAGCCUGAUGCAGCGACGCCGCGUGAGGGAUGACGGCCUUCGGGUUGUAAACCUCUUUCAGCAUCGACGAAGCGAAAGUGACGGUAGGUGCAGAAGAAGGACCGGCCAACUACGUGCCAGCAGCCGCCGUAA
rnacentral:rRNA from 1 species